rnacentral:rRNA from 1 species
CUUUUCCCCCCCGCGACUUAAGCAUAUCAAUAAGCGGAGGAAAAGAAACCAACAGGGAUUGCCCUAGUAACUGCGAGUGAAGCGGCAAAAGCUCAAAUUUGAAAUCUGUGUCCUUCGGGACUCCGAGUUGUAAUUUCGAGAUGCGUUUUCGUCCGACAGGCCUGCCUUAAGUCCCUUGGAACAGGGCGUCACAGAGGGUGAGAAUCCCGUGAAUGGUAGGCCUCGAGGCGCGUGAUACGUAUUCGACGAGUCGAGUUGUUUGGGAAUGCAGCUCAAAAUGGGUGGUAAAUUUCAUCUAAAGCUAAAUAUUGGGGAGAGACCGAUAGCGCACAAGUAGAGUGAUCGAAAGAUGAAAAGCACUUUGAAAAGAGAGUUAAAAAGUACGUGAAAUUGUUGAAAGGGAAGCGCUUGAGGCCAGACUCAAUCGCUGUUGAUCAACCUCAGUUCUCUGGGGUGCAAUCGGCAGUUUUUGGGACAGCAUCGGUUCUCGCGGAGGGACAAAGCCUCGGGAAAUGUGGCACCCUUCGGGGUGUGUUAUAGUCCUCCGGGUAAUGCCUCCAGCGGGGACCGAGGACCGCGCUUCGGCUAGGAUGCUGUCGUAAUGGCCUUCAGCGACCCGUCUUGAAACACGGACCAAGGAGUCUAACAUCUAUGCGAGUGUUCGGGUGGAAAACCCUUGCGCGCAAGAAGGGAACGCAGGAUG